rnacentral:rRNA from 1 species
UGGAGCAAAACUAUAAAAGACGAUCUCAGUUCGGACUGCAGGCUGCAACUCGCCUGCACGAAGUUGGAAUUGCUAGUAAUCGUGGAUCAGCAUGCCACGGUGAAUACGUUCCCGGGUCUUGUACACACCGCCCGUCACACCAUGGGAGCCGGAAAUGCCCGAAGCCGGUGACCAAACCAAUAAGGAAGGAGCCGUCGAAGGCAGGUCUGAUAACUGGGGUGAAGUCGUAACAAGGUAUC